GGGGGGGCCUGGGAGACCCCGACGGCGCCGUCAGGGGGGCGGCGGCGGCGGCACUGAGGGAGCUGCGGGAGCAGCUGCAGCCCGAGCUGGCUCCGCUGGCGGCCGAGGCCCUCCCGAGGAUUUUGGGGGAAUUUUGGGGCUCCCAGAAUUCCCCAAAUUCCCCAAAUCCCGACCCCAAAUCCUGGUUCGUGCUGGAGACGCUGCUGGAGGCGCUGGGGGAGGAGGUGCAGCCCUGGCUGCCCCAGGUGAUUCCCAGGAUUUUGGGAGCUUUGGAGCCGUCGGAGCCGGAGCGGAGCCGGGAGCUGGCGCUGAGCGCGCUGCACGCCCUGGCCUGCAGCUCCGGCUCUCUGGAUCUCCCCUCCCCCGCCCUGGGAGCCGUCACCGCCCUGGCCCGGGGGGGACCCCACCAGUUACAGG